GAGCGGGCCAUGGAGAACAUGACGAACGUCGACUCCGUCCGGGUGGAGCGGUCCGGGACGGGAUCCAAGGCCUCCGCGUGGGGGUACCA
rnacentral:ribozyme from 1 species